rnacentral:rRNA from 1 species
UACGUAGGGUGCAAGCGUUGUCCGGAAUUAUUGGGCGUAAAGAGCUCGUAGGCGGUCUGUCGCGUCGGCUGUGAAAACCCGGAGCUCAACUCCGGGCCUGCAGUCGAUACGGGCAGACUGGAGUUCGGCAGGGGAGACUGGAAUUCCUGGUGUAGCGGUGGAAUGCGCAGAUAUCAGGAGGAACACCGGUGGCGAAGGCGGGUCUCUGGGCAGUAACUGACGCUGAGGAGCGAAAGCGUGGGGAGCGAACAGG